GACGAACGCUGGCGGCGUGCCUAAUACAUGCAAGUAGAACGCUGAAGGAGGAGCUUGCUUCUCUGGAUGAGUUGCGAACGGGUGAGUAACGCGUAGGUAACCUGCCUGGUAGCGGGGGAUAACUAUUGGAAACGAUAGCUAAUACCGCAUAAUAUUGACUAUUGCAUGAUAGUCAGUUGAAAGGUGCAACUGCACCACUACCAGAUGGACCUGCGUUGUAUUAGCUAGUUGGUGGGGUAACGGCUCACCAAGGCGACGAUACAUAGCCGACCUGAGAGGGUGAUCGGCCAACCUGGGACUGAGACACGGCCCAGACUCCUACGGGAGGCAGCAGUAGGGAAUCUUCGGCAAUGGACGGAAGUCUGACCGAGCAACGCCGCGUGAGUGAAGAAGGUUUUCGGAUCGUAAAGCUCUGUUGUAAGAGAAGAACGAGUGUGAGAGUGGAAAGCUCACACUGUGACGGUAUCUUACCAGAAAGGGACGGCUAACUACGUG
rnacentral:rRNA from 1 species